AACGCGAAGAACCUUACCUGGGCUUGAACUACUCGUGGUAAGUCUUUGGAAACAGAGACUGACCCGCAAGGGAGCGAGCAGAGGUGCUGCAUGGUUGUCGUCAGCUCGUGUCGUGAGAUGUUGGGUUAAGUCCCGCAACGAGCGCAACCCUUGUCCUGUGUUGGCAUGCCGUAAGGCGCAACUCUCAGGAGACCGCCAGCGAUAAGUUGGAGGAAGGUGGGGAUGACGUCAAGUCAUCAUGGCCUUUAUGUCCAGGGCCACACACGUGCUACAAUGGGCGGUACAAAGCGCUGCCAACCCGCGAGGGGGAGCUAAUCGCCAAAAACCGUCCUCAGUUCGGAUUGCAGGCUGCAACUCGCCUGCAUGAAGCUGGAAUCGCUAGUAAUGCUAUAUCAGAACGAUAGCGUGAAUACGUUCCCGGGCCUUGUACACACCGAGUAUA
rnacentral:rRNA from 1 species